rnacentral:lncRNA from 1 species
AUACUGUGAUGGCUUGGGGGGAACAGUAGCUCUGAGAUCACUCCUGUAUUGGUGUCGGUACUGCCUCUGCCUGCCAGGCCCUACUGCUGCUGGCUCACCCUGCCCUCACUGUGGAUCACAAGGCUUCACGAUCAUCUAGCUUGCACUGUUCUGCCAUGAAAAUUUAGCGUGUGGUGCAAACUGUCUUCUAGCAAAUCCAGCACUUCUGUUGGUUUUUACCUCUUACUUCCAGCUGUCUCAGAACCAAGACCCGACCAGUGUAUUUGCUAUACACCAUGCUCUCCUCAGCAACACGCUACAACAACCCACUGUAGUUCCUUUGAAGCAAUAUACCAUCCCUUUACACAAAAAUAUAUAAAGAUAAAACUAUUAAAAUGAUGCACAAGCUGUGUAGCAGGCUCAUUUUUCUUAAGAGCUCAGUGACCCACAUGCUUCAGGUACAUCCCAGAGAGCCUGUAGCUCAAGUGGGAUGUGUCUUCCUGUUCUGUGGGGCUGUGGUGUCACCGGGCAUCUUCAGCAAUAUCACCAGCUCAGUGUGCUCAUUUCAGUCCUGACCCAUUUAACUUUUCCUGCCUCAUUACUAAGGAGUAUCAACCUCCUCCUUUCCACCCAUUACAACUGAAGAAGCUGUUAGGACUUUAACAGAAAAAAACUGUUUCUGUAGUUUAAAUCAGAUGACGUUCCCUCAACUUAUAAAGUUAAGAAAACGGGGCUGGAAAACACUGGGGCAGAUGGCUACAACGAGGGGCUAUGAGCAAGCUGUUUUCUGGCAUCCCUCCACUUGCAGCUGCAGGCAACUCAUAUUUUCUAUAGACUAAGGUUUGUUUUCAACAAUUCUGAGUCCUUCUGACAAUGGAAUAUGAGAGAAAUAAGCCUGCUAAUCAGAUCUGAGCCAGGAAGUGGGCACCCCUAAAUUAAUGGCUAUUUUCUUAAGGACUUUUAAUUCCAUUAAUGACCCCCUGAUUUUCGUUCUUGUUGAUGUCUCAAUUGCUCAGAAUUACACAAAGGAAAUCCAUUCACAUAUUUCAGUGUACCGACAGAACUUGCAUAGUGAUAAAGUAAUUGUACGCUAAUCCUGUGUUCUUCACAUAUGUAUACAGACAUAAUAGAUCCGGCAAGUAAUUCACCCUAGAAGAGCUAAUCAAAGGUUUUAAUAUGAUUAAUUCAUUUUAUGUUCAUUUUUUCUGUUUUGUCAGCUUAAAACAAGUAAUAAAAAUUUAAUCCUUCAUUGUUUUAGAAAUACGAUCACUACUUCGAAACGAAAUAAUAUGCCUGCUUGCCCUUGCAGGGAUUUUAAAUAACUGUUUCAAUUCUAUGGCUUGAAUAUAAUAGUUUAUUUCCUCAACAACACAAGGAACAAACAAGAGAAAUGUGAGGCUUGUGCUGGCUUUUUUCUCAAUUUUCUGAUAUUGUCUUAGGAAUCUGUCGACACAAAUAAUUCUUGGUGUGUGCAUAAAUUUUCUUCCGUGAUGAGGUGUUUCUGAGCCUCCAAGGAACUCUGUGAGGGAGGUAUGGGAGAGGCAGGGUUAUAAAAUCCAAACCAAGCUCAUGUUUUCUAACUGAAAACCAUGAACCCUCAUCAAACUAUCUGUCAACAGAAGUGAGGUAUCAUUCCAGAAAGCAUAAAAGAAAGAAUGGGAAACAAAGUGGUGUUUCUUUCACAAUCAUUUUUCAUUUAUGGCCAGCAGAGUACCAGCAAUGGUAAUGCAAGCCCUGCCAGGGGCUGAGGGAUCUAUUCUCCAGAGUGACACGCUGCUAUCAGAAGUUUUCACACAGCACAGUGAAAAUGAGCAGAUGUUCCCCUUGCUGUGGAGCCUCUGGACAAAAAGAACUUUUUACCUUGCUUCCUUCUGAAAGAGUCCUUUAAAGUUGUGCAUCUGUUUGUUUUUGUUUUUUUCUUUUCCCCCCCUUUUUCUUUACUUUCAAUAGUCAGGCAACCCUCAAAGGAACUGAGCAGUUGCAAUGACCACAUUUGUGCAAAGCAUAUAUCCAGCUUUUCCAUAAUAACUCUAUCUGAAUAAAAACAAAAGGUUCCUUUUCCUUUUUUUUGUCCUGUCAAACAUUUCUGAUUACAUUUUUAUAGACAUCUGUAACUUCUGAACUUCUGUUAUACCACCAUUCACAGCAUCACCACUGUCACCAUGGAACACACCAGUGAGAGUACCUUCUUUCCAUGCAGUUGUUUUAAUAGCAGAUUUCAAAAGGAUAUAGAUUUUAAUUAAUUGGAAAGAUUUACAGCAGAAUGUUUUUACAGCAGAAUGUUAAAUAGAAUCAUCUGAAGGAUUAGAGAAAGCCCAAUAAGCCAUUCAUAACUUAUACCAGGACCCAGACAAAUUCAAGACCUAGAGAGCUGAAGGCCUUCUCCUUUGUUCUGCACGUUGUCAGGCUACAAGAUGAAGCACUGUGACAAAAACAGGAUUAUAAACCUGCUGCAUGUGCUGUCUGGAAAGCUGCCUGCAAUUCAGAUCUUUUGCCACCAACACUGACAGUAAGAUUGGAAAUAGGAAUAUGCUCAAUGACCUUGAAAUGAAGUCAAGUAUUGUUAUCCUUCAGAAUCAAAAACUCCUUGCCUUGAAAAGCUCUUGAAUAUUUGGUGCUUUUUAUAUAUACGUAGUUACUUGAUGUUACCAUUUGUAUUAGCUCUAUAAAAAAUUAAAUCACUAAAUGUUGUACUAUAAUAUGUGUAUACAUACAUAUAUGUAAAUCCCUUAGGAUUAGGGUUCUUAGGAUUCAAAGAUGACUUUAAUUAGAUUUCAGAGAAGUUACCCACCCAUGAUCACAACAUGCCAUUUUGUAUGAGAAUCUUCAAACUGCAGAGUGGAUUAAGGAUAGGGCACUGUCACAGAGUUAUCUAGAUAGAUCUGUGCCCGUGACAGGGGGGGCAGUAGGCUCGCGAGCCCCCCUGGCUUCCCGAGUGAAAGAGCAAUAGAGAGAGAGAGAGAGAGAGAGUGAAAGAGCUUCCAAAACCGAAAGCCCUACUUGGUGAAGGCGCACAGCUUGGAAGCACACCCACUCCUCUCCCUGGCAGCAAGCGAAAGUGAAAAAGACCGCGCGCAACCAGAUGACGUAUCUUCCGUGAUGUAUCUUCCUUCUCUGACCGUGAGGUCCUCUGGGAUACAUAGUUCUUCUCUUUUGUCCAUGAUGUUAUGAUGCGGAAUACCAAUAGCAAAGUUACAAAACCAUGACAGGCACCUGAAUAUUAGAUUAUAAUUUGUCUGUCAGGACAAGUCUGACAUUGAAAUGCUCUUAAAGACUCAGACUAAUCCAUGAGAAAAUUGUCCCAGUGUUGGACUGAAGAAAGCAUGCUUUCUGGGGUGUGCCAGGACAGUGUCACCAUGCUAGAGUACUAGAGACUGCUGAGACAAACGGAAGAAGACACCUCAGAUAGCUAAUCACUGCCACUGUGCUUCUGCACUCCCUUUUGAUAAGCUAGAACUCUUCCUAGAACUAUAUGCAUGGACUGUGAAUACAAGGCUUUAUCAUUUGAGGUGUUCUUGAUGUUUUUCCUACGAAAGACAAUCCAUCUCCAUCUCUCUCUUUUCUGCAGACUGUCCUUGUUGCAGAAAAUACUACUGAUAAAAUACACAGCACUGCAAUCCAGUCACAUCAGCUAGUUGAACAGACCGAGAUCUUUAACUGUCAUGUAACAGUUUAACAGUUUUGCGCAGAAGGUGCCACAUACGACAGACAGAUGACUUAAUGACUUAGGGGAAAAAGUCAGGCUUGACUUCAAAUCGUAAAGUUUUAUAACCGAUUUCCUAGGUUCCAGUAAUGUUUAGCUUGUAAUCCUAUUAGUCAGCUCCCUUUCUCAUGGUUCAGUAAUUUAAAGUCUUUUAUUAUUUCUUCCUUGAAUAUGUGGGCUCUGUGGGCACAUCCUGUCCCAGUGCUCUGAGUGGCUGUGCUACUGCAGCUGGAGAUGACAUUUCUGAAAAAGCAGGUGUGUGGCCAGCACAUUCCCAUGCAUCUGUAACCCUGGUUGCCAGAAGCAUUCCACAGGACUUCUAUCUGCCAACUGGAAUUAACUUCAAAUCUGUUAUCCUUUCAUGAGGGAAAAAAACCCACAACUGUCCUAGGCUGGACCUAAGAUACAGCUAUAUAAACAAAUAAUGUUUGCGUGUCACUCUGUCUCCUAGAAGGGGCACAGAAAUGCACUGAUCCAUAUUUCCUUGAGAAACAGAAAUUCUAAUCUGGAACUCAAGUCAGUGAAACAGUCCUUUUCAGAGUGGGAAGUAUUUUCUAAUUCACAGAAAAAUAGUGAAAUGACAAUGCGGUAGCUAUCCUGCAUCAUAAUUGUGCAUCAUGAUUACCUAAGUUAAUACAACUUUUAAAAAUGCUGUAUUCUUCAAAGUCUUCAUGCACACACAGAAACAAUACAGAAAAUCAAAAUCUAGGAUGUAAGGGAAGUUCAGAGGAUGUCCAUUCCAACCCUGUGCUCAAACUAGGUCUAAAUAGAUGAGGUUGUGCAGGGCCACAUCCAACUAAGUCUUGGAUACCUCAGUGAAUUCUGUAACCUCGCUGGGAGACAUGCUGGAGUAUUUAACCACUUCUAUGCACAUCAGCACGCUUACUGCUUGCACGGGUGCACGGGAGCCCUCUGUGAAUGUAUGAACUCUCACUUUCUCUUGUAGAACUUCAUGAAGUUCUGCUCAGCCCAUUUUCUCAGCCUGCCUGAGGUGCCCCGAGUAGCACCUAUGCCCUCCAGCACAAGGACCAUUCUCUUCAGCCUAGUGUUUGUCAGAAACUUGCAGCAAGUGUGCUUCAUACCAUGGGCAGUUCAGGCAAUUGUUCACCCACCUUACCUGCUUACUAAUUUGAUGAUGAGGAGACUAUGGUGGACUGGGCUAAAGGCAGUUCUAAAAAUCAAGGUAUACAACAUCCGUUGUCUCUCUUUUCUACAGCACAGUAUUCCCCUUCAAGAGAGCAGUGAGGCUGCUCAGGCAUCAAUUGUCCAUUUUGAACUCCUGCUGGCUGCUCAUGAUCACUUUGUCUUUCAUGUGUUUACAAAUGGUUUUUACAGAGAUUUGCUCCACAAUCUCACUAAGGACCAUGGCAAGGCUGAUCAUGAAUUUUAUUACAAUAGAUGGUGUCCUUGCAUUCAGUAAAAAAAAAAAAAAAAAAAAAAAAAAUCUAACAAUGAAUAAAUUACUAAAAAAAUGCAUACUAAGUUUUCAACAGAAACUCUGGCACUACAAGUCUGUGGUUUCAAAUAUGGGAAUAAACUAUAAGCCAGUCUGUAGUAAGAAGCAUCUCAAAGACUGAAGAGGAAUGGAAGAAGCACAUCACCAAGUUCAAGAGAUAGCCAUGAGUCAGUUAAUUUCACAAACUGCUAUAGUGGAGUUGUUUUGCUACUACUGUGCAAAAAUUAUUGAGGUAGUUUAUUAAAGGCAGAUAAAUGGCAUUUCUUUUCUGAGGAAGUACAAAUAAGAAACUCAGUUAAAGAACACAACUUACAUCACCGUUUGUCUUUGGGACUCAUCCAAUAGAGUGCUGAGCAAACACUUUCUUUGCCUUAACUGAAUAAAAUUCUAAUUAGAGUAAUUGAGCUUUGACAACUGCUAUGUCAUUAAAUAUAAACUGACUUUAAACUAAUUGUGUUUGCACUAUACUAUGAUUUCCAUUAAUGGAUGUAUUACUGUUUAUACUCUACAAACACCUUUGAAGUCGAACAUUAAAAUCUAUGCUGCAUAAUUUGAAAUGAAAUGUCCUGUGAGCACAAACCAGGCAUGGCACUACUGGUAAUGGUCCUGCAAAGGAAUACGGUCCACACCCUCAAUGUCUGUGACAAACAGCAGGGUAAAGGUGACUGUCAGCUCUUUGGACUUCGUCUGUUCUGGAGGAGGGAGCUCUGUAUUGGUUUCUGCAAUGUAAAGCAGAGCUUGGUGUGGAUUUCUCUAAUUUGGGCCAGCUGCUAUCAAUCCUGCAGAGUCUAUGAUGCAGCCUUGCUAAGCCACUUGCUGUAGUUGUACUUCUUGUCCCAGCAGCCAAGUGCAGAACGUGACUUACGAAUUUUAGAUAUUAUGAAACAGCAUCACUGUAAGUUAGAAAAAUUGUACGGCGACUUUCCACCUGAAAAAAAGAUCUGCCUGUUUGCUCUGGGAAUUCAACUCUACAAACAGAUCUUCCUUUUGUACCCUUGGUCUUGCCUCAUUUUGUUUCAGCUGUUAUCAGCAGACAAUAAUUAACAAAUAAUCUUCAGAAUCAUUUGUGUAGUUGGACUCAUAAAUGUCAAGUUUGUUUUGCUACUGUUGUACCUACAUUGCAUACCUUACCUCUAUUCAAUUUCCACUAUAAAUAUAAAGCACAAUACAAAAUGGAAAAAAAAAAAUCCUAACAAUCUUAUUCACUGGGAUUUAUGCAGAAGGCAAAAAGGGGAGAAAUGAAAAAGGAAAAAAAGCUGUUUAAAAAUUCACAUGAAUACAUAUAUAUAUAUGAACGGUUGUGCGCUAUUUUCUUGUCACUGCUGCAGUAGGAAAAUGGUGCACAUAAUACAAGUUAGAGUUCAAAGAGUAUGCAGUAAUACAAGUACUAGGAAAAAAACCCUGAGUUUAUAAUCUUCUGCUUUUCCAUCCAAAUCUAUUUGCCUGAAAUGUAUUUUCAAGAGUUUGCAUUUACAAUUUCAAGUAGAACAAAAUAAAAUAAUUGAUUAAUUACAUGCCAGCUGACCAAUAAUGUUUUUCAUAAUUAAUCACUGUCAGUAAUUUUAUACUAACAUGUUGAGUAUUCAGUGCCAUCACAGUUCUGGAAUGGGAGGCAAGGGUAAGAAGAUGACUUUUUAUCCAAAUAAUUUUGAACUGCUGGAAAUCUGAAACUUCAUUUGUCAAAAGUGCUAGCAUAUUUCUGAGAACUUACAGUAUUUUGCAUGCUAUGGUGCAGAUCUUGUUUCUGUCCUGAGCAAUUGCUGGUGUUCAAUUCUGAGACAGUGUUUCUGUUAAGCCUUCCGAGUUAAUCCAAGUUCAAGUCACUGAAAGCAGACUAGUACUGAUACUUGGACUUCUAGAAAUUUUGAAUCUUUUUACCUAGGCAUCUAUUUUACGUAACAGGUGUAGUUGCACUGUAAACGCAGACCAAAAAUAACUUCCCAUACAGAAUGAGCUUUAUCUCCACAGUUUGGGUCACAGCUGAAUGUGAACUUCUCUAGGGCUCAGUGAUUGCAGGGAGGCCAUGUAUUUGUAACACACACUUCACCUGCAUAGUGUGACUAACCCUCAAUACUUCCCAGUUUUGUGUUUUUGGUGGCUUUAUAGUGACGUUUAACUCAUUCAAGUCACUGCAUGAUGUGGCGUCCAAAUGAGGGGCACCCACUCCCCGAACUCCCUGCAAUGAAUGAUGCAUCACGCUUCAGGCGUGCAGGUAGUUCUGGAGAUCUCAGGAGAAAAGUAGAGAUGGAGACACUGCAUAACGUGUCCAAGAUCCUUACAAUAUGCUGAACUCACAGUGCAGCUUCAGUUCAUGCCCGUUUUGAUUUUAGCAUCAUUAGACUUACUGUAUGACAUCUCCUACUUGGCUGCCAGAGAUCUGAAAAUCUUGGAUGAUAUAAUAAAUUACUCUUUUCCUGUUUAGAUAAUAUUUUUCAGCAUCUGCAAAGAAACAGUGGUAUAGGAGUUCUAAAAUCCCCAGGUGGAUAAUAAGCAGAUAAUAUGCACAACAUAUAAUGCAGUGGAACUGUCCAGCACCGAGCACUUGAAGAAUGACAAUUCAGAUGUGCUCAGUGGUACAAGUGAAUUCUUCAUACUUAAAAAAAAUUCAAGUGGUCUUCAUAGGAAGACCUUUCUAGAAUUAUGCUGUCCAUUCCACUAGAAAACUUUGCAGAACUGCAUAUUAUUGACUCUUCUAAACAAAUUCAAAACCGCAUAAACAAAACUAAUACUGUAGCUGGAUAGGUUAUUUCAAUUUUUUUUUACGUGCAACAUCUGUUCUGAAUUGGUGUCUGUCUACCUCAAUGCCCAGAAGUUCAUUUUCGAAUGAGUAUCUGCAUCUGCAAGUCAGAAACCAAGUGUGGCUUUACUUAGUUUGCUGAAGCGCUGUAAGGAUGUUUCCAUAAGUGAUCCGUCAUGCGUUCUUCAGGUCUGCAAACAGCAUAAUCUUUGUCUUAAAAAAAAAUAAGUCAUAUAUACUAGUUCAGGAUAAAAAUGUAAUUUAACUGCAGUCUGAUUAAAAAAAAAUCAAGCCUGCUUCCCUAUAGUAUUAAAUUUUCACCAGAACUGAGUUUAAGCAGCAAUUAAAACAAGAAUAGGAAAAAAACUGUGACAAGCAUAGUUUAGGCAACAUAGAUGUAAUAAUUUACAAGUAAUUUUUUUAAUUGGGAGCACCUGACAACAGAGGUGAAUCUAGUUAUGGCCAUUUGUGAACUGGAUGCAUCAGGGUGAGGGUGGUUCGGAUUUAAAAGGUGGAAGACCAAGAGAACAAAGGUAGAUGGGGUGGAAAAUAACGCUGUAAAAAGAGCUUGAGAGAAGAGAGAGUAUAGGAGGUGAAAAGCUGUUUUGGUACCGUGUCAGCCAUCCCAUUGCAUAACAUACGAAAACACACAGAAAAACCUUUUUUUCUGGAGCGUGCAGCUGUCUGGUAGUUAGAUAAAUGAAAUUCUUCACUAAUAAAAACUUGCUAUUUUGAAUGGCAGUACAAAAAUGGGAAACAUGAAUGUUCUGUGCAGUGUUCUACAAAGAUUAAAGGUGACAAAUAUUUUCAAGUUCAGCUAAUUGUCUUAGGGUGGAAAUAACCCUGAACAAUAGUUUAAGUGCCGAAUAAAAUGUUUUGUGACAGAAAUUUCCUAGAAAAUUGAACGAGGCACGUUUACAGUGCAGAAUGCAUACAGCUGACAUACUCUAAAAUUCGUAAGUAUUUAAUUACUUUAUUCAUAAUAUAUAUGCAGUGAGCUCUGCAGUUUUCAGUCAGUGUCCCAUUUGAUUACAUUAUUUUGAGCUAAAUGUUUCAAAAUUUGCAGACAGCUUUCACUGUGUGGUUUUCUAUAAUCAGCCACAGUUCAUUACCAGUGACUCCACUGGCUAAAGCACUACAUCUGGAAUAUUUAACCCUUAGGGCUUUGCUCAUGCUAUAACUUUUUGCCCAUUUGUAAGGGAAGACAAAUAUACAACUUGUGGGAGCCUCAGCUCUUACUGAGCAGUCAUCAUUUGAUACUGAUCAACAUUAUUGAUGUAGGGUUUGACCUCUUUCAGUUUAAUGUUUCCAACGCCCUUCUAUCAUCUAUGUUUUAGGAUUAUAGCCACUUCUAUACAUGUAUUGCUAUUUAGCACUACAAGCUCUGCUAGUAUCUCAUUCUGAAUGUAAUAGGUACAGCAUUAUGUUAUCACCCAACAGCACGAGUUGGUAGAGGGACAACUGCAGCUUUUCAAACAAAGUUCAUCUGGGGAUAACUCAGGUGGGAUUGCAAGCCUGAUCUGCUGGUAAAAGUGAAGCUUCAUAAUCUAAUUUGAGACAUAUUAGAACAUGAUUUGAAACAGACCAAUUAUAGUCUAUCAGUCCAAAUUACAGUAUAUAUAAACUAUGUAAUAUAAAAUAUUAAUCUGCUGCUUUCAGACCAAAGAAUCAAUGCAAGUUUAUUUUCAUAGACAAUAAAAGAAAACAGCUUUAUGUAGAUUUAGGAUAGUUCUAGGAUUUGACAAUUAGAACAACUAAAAUUCCACUUCUCCAGGACAAGAGCAGGAAUCUUCAGAACUAUGCACUUGGCUAAUUUUAAUUGAUUUUUUUAAUAUAACCUAUUUUUUUAGCUUGCUUCUUUCAAUACUGAAUAAAAGCAUAAAUAGUUUAAUUGAAAAAUUAAAUUAAGAGUAAUCAAUUUGUAACAGAUUUAUAAAAGCAUAUAAUUCCUCUUGCACAAGAUUGAGUGGCUACACUUCAGUCCAUUUAAAAAAGAUUUCCUACAUUACUGUAGGAAGUGUUUCUAGAAAUAGUAAUUGUUUUACUUCCCUCCUAAAUUAAUAGAAAUGAUAGGCCCUGGCAUUCUCUCUUCUUAUCAACACGUAAAGCUAUAGGCACGCAGCUCUGCCUGUGUCUUUCCCUGCGGUAGGUUCUGUCUCAAGCAUGGGACUUCUUGGUACACAUGGAAGCUGCUCUCUGUGCUUUAGUUCUUACACUUGCAGUCCGUUUCUUGGCUUAGGAAUAAACCUUUCACUUAUGAUGCUCCUGGGCAUUGAAUAAAAGCUUUGGUCCUUGCUCUCUAGGACUUUAAGACUUGAAGUUACGUCCCAGAUAUGUCGUGCUUUUUGUACUCGCCCAGGACUAACCUUGGAGCAGCAAGCAUCACCCUACCUGCAAUGCAGAGCUGCUUGCAACAUGUAGCAUAACUUCUCACAAAGAGAUCAACAGAACUGAAGUUCAAGUUUCUGAAACACAUUUUAUGAUCCAGUAACUGAGAAACAGAACUCCCGUGUGGCUUGAAAUGGUACAGAAAGUGAGGCAGGACAAUGCAGACAAAGCCAGCAACUGAGGAAGUCAGACUUUUAAGUGCUGACAAGUCCCAUAAACCUACGGCUGUGCUAGUAAGCUAAGCUGGCUUGAUGUCAAAUGGUAUGGCAGGGCACAUGGCCACAGAGCUGUUUUCAUAUCCCAAAUGGGGUGGCCCCUUCCAAGCUGCUUUCAGAAAACAUUUUGUCACCUAUGCUAUUACCCAAACAUGUCCAGACCCAUGGGGUAGCACUGCUGUAUCAGAGACCAUACAAACUGGGCAACUGUGUGCUAUGCUGCAGCUUAGACAGAGGCUCCAUUUAAUUUACUAUUAUUGUCUGAGAAUGUGGGAUAUUCACACUUAAGUAAAAAGGAUUUGGGGCAGAUAUCAACCAAUGCAUGUUGGGCCAAAUUAUUCAGACUUGGAGACAGCACAUCAUUCAUCUCCCAUUUUGGAGCAGCUUGUGCUGCUACAUUACUCUACCAACACUAGGGAACUGCGAUUUUUCUUUUUAUAUUGUUUUCUUGUGAACAUACAGGUUGAGGUUACUGGUUGAUUUGUUCAGCCAAUUUUGCAGAUCUGUCCAUGACAUUAGGGGAAAAAUAAUUCUUUCCAGUUCUUUCCAAAAAAGAUAAUCCAAUGCUGCAUUCGAUUUUAAGCAGUUUGAAGUCUUAUCAGCCUCAAAUAUCUUUUUUUCAAAGAGAUUUAGAGGGUUCUCAAAGAAAUAUAUAGAAUAUUAUAAACUUGAAGUAAUAGUUUUAACAGCAGAGGCAGUAUACCAUUUCCUUUCAGAUUCUGACAGCCAUAACUGUAAUUCAUGAGUAAACAGUCCACUACUGUUAUGUGUUUAAAAGACAGUAAUUCCCUCUACAUAUCUUGGUUGAAAGAAAAGGAAUUUUGAUACUCAUUUAUCAAUUACAUAGAAACGCAGAAUAAUAGCUCCACAUUAGGAGUCCAGUUUGCUGAAAGAAGAGAUGACAACACAUUUUCCAUCUAAGACCUUUAAGCCAAUAUAGGUCUUAUGACAAUACAUAAAAAAGACAAGAGAAUCAUGUGUGUAGGGUAAGAGCAAGAAGCAGUCUGAAAACCAACUGGGUCCUGAAAUGUGUAACAUUCUCUCUCUCUUUCCUGACUUCCAUCCACUGCAACAUUUUCUUCUAAACAUCAAAGAGAUGAAUUUACAGACAAUUUCAACAGAGUUGGCAGACAGUACCUGUUCUUAAUCUACAAGAGUAGCCUUACUUCAUUUGGGCAGAAGUCCCACUGAGUUCAGAUUCAGCGUGCAAAAGGCAAGUAGGUACUGUAAGAGAUUUUGCUUAUACUGAUCAUCAAAAGGUGUGUGCAUGAGUAAUUCCUAAAGGCAGGUUUAGAUGGAGCUGAAAACCUUCACAGCUGGCAGUGUGAACUUGCCAGCCGUGAACCAGUUCCAGCCAGGAGCUAGGCACUCCAUGCACACCAUCUGCUACGGCAAGUUCCCAGUUUACACACACACUCCUUUCCCUUUUAGAUAUUUUUAAAUAAAAUAUCAAGCUUUUUAAAACUUUUUUUUUUUUAAAUGACACCAUACUUACAAUUAAAUAAAUGAAAACUAAGCCUGAGGUGGGGGAUUUUACCUCCUCCUGUACGAUUUUUUGUAUUUUCCAAUCCCCUUCUAAAUGGUCUUCCUCUUUUUCACAUAUUUAUUCAAAUAAUAAAACCCAGCAAUAGCCAUGCACAUCGAGCAUUAGCCCACAUACCAAGCAGCCAGAAUUGUACCUCAUAAUGCCACACGUGUCUGCUUCCAGGAAAAGGAGGUGAAUAGCUAAAUAGGGUUUUAAGGGUUCACUUGCUUUUGUUACAUCUCUAUUGCUGUUCAUAAUUUUCAAAGCAAGUAUGGAGAGUUCUUUCCCCUUUUUCAAGGCUGCAUAUUUCAAAUACCAAAACUGGAGUUCUAAGUUUUCUAUGGUUGCUUUGAUCCCAAUGGCCUGAUUCCAACACAUAACUUCACGUUACCCCUGUGUUUAAAGCACUCAGUUCAAUGUAGACUUACACAAGAAAUCUUUGGCUAAGAAAGACUCACCCGAUUUUCCAGCUAUGGUAUAAAACAGGUCUUACCUCUGCCCCUUCACUUCUGAGAGACAGAAAAUCCCUGUUUCUACUUGUGAAGAGAGUGAUAUCGUGGAAGCAGCCGAGGAAAUGAGGAUCUGUAACAAAAGGUAGUCCUUUUAAGCAGAAGGUCGUUGUUAAGAUGACAAUACAGUUUCCAGGUCUCUUGGAUUAAGCUUUUCAGGUAAAAACAAAUCUUUCUUUAGCUUUCCCCAGUUUUAAGAAGGGUCAUCAAGUUUGUUGUCAGUGCAUCAGGGCCUGACAUGCAUGGCGCAGACAUGUAAAUCCAGAAGGAGCUGGAGGUUUAAACUCCUGCUGCAAAAUCAUCUUCAUGUGCUUUAGCAUGCUUUUGAGAUAGACCCCAUAAACUAGUCCAAUUCUAAGCUCUGUACAUGAAAAAAAUGCCUUGAAAAUACCAUAGCGCUGCUAGACCUCCCCUCAUGUUUUAAAACAGUGUUUGAAAGGGAUACAAAAGCCUUACUGUGAAGAAAAAACAUCAUUAGUUUUUGUUCUUGUAUUCACAAUAUACUGAUGUAGAGUACACUGUGCAGUUUCUUACCUAAGCCUAGGCAUUUCCAUACCAGUGACAUAGAACCUGGAGAAAUAAAAACUAGGAUGCUAAGACAGGUACUAAAUUAUCAUGUUGCCACCUCAUUUCAAGCUCCUCUGACACAGAGAUGUGAACUUAAAGAAGGUAAGUUACUGUGAUGGGAACAUAUGAGAGGAAAGAAAAAAUUAAAACUGGGCUACUAUAAGAUGAAACCCUUCAAAGUAGUGCAGUAAGAUUGGGAUUCUGAGUAGACUUGAAUAGACAUGUAUUCCUCUCAAUUGGAGAGACCUGGAUGCCAGGAUGGGCUCAUGGCUACAGUCUCUGCUAUGUGAAAUCCAGUUUGGAUCCUAAGAAACUCUGGGGUUUCAUCAGAAAAUGCAAUACUAAAUUACACCUUCUACAAGUCAAAGCUGGAUUUAAAACAAACGAACAGCUUUUACAGUUCAUCUUCAACACGUUUUUGGUCCUCUUAUGUCCACCCAGGAUCACGCGUAGGUUUUAGCCAGCUCCUUGUUUCUUCUGCUGAUCCUGGAGUUGCUAUUACUUUCAAAAUCAUUGUUUGUUUUUAUCUGAAACUAAGUUAAAUACUGACACUGCCACAAAAUUCCAUUAUGCUCAUCAUAACAUGGAUAACUGGUAAAAGUUCUGCUGGAGACGUUGUUCUGGUUCUUGCCUUUUUUUGGUCAAUUGGUGACAGUAUGCAACUCUGAGAAAGGCCGUGGGCCUCAAGAGCUUCCAAAACUUUUGCCUCCCCUCGGCUUGUCUUAAUGGUUCCAGAUGGUUUCUAGAGAUUAGUAUUGCUUAGCUACACUGUACUGAUGAUCACUGUCAGAGCAGGUGAGCAGAAAUUAACUGAUUCCAUCUGUGUCUACUUCUGGGCAGAGAGUAAUCUCUAAUGCCCACUCCUAUGAAGAAGCAGAGGGCAUCGGAUAAGUAAUCUCUAGUGGGAUACAGGUACGUUGAGAGACUGUCUCUCUUUGUAAACGCUAAUACAGAAGAUAAGCUAUUGUCAUGAAUGUACUGUAGCUUCAGGUCUGAACUCUGAAUAUAUAACCUAGCUAUACUAUAAAAUUUUAAGCAUUCUUCCAUGAUAAAAUUCACCUGAAUACAGAGACUGAAAAUAGUGUCUUCUCUCCACUCCUGAUGGAAACAUUAGGUUUUUCUGAGUUUGAAAUAACAUACACUUUCUACAUAUGAGAAUAUAGAGAAAUAUAUUUAAGUGGAGUGGAUUUAAAAUAUAAUUCUGAUUAAAAAACAAACCAAACUAAAAAAUGCUAAGAUAUUAUCAGAAACUAUAUUAUAUUGUCAUCCAAAAGAAUCUCUACAAACUUGAAAAGUGGGCCUGUGUGAACAUAAUGAAGUUUUACAUAGCAAAGUGCAAGGUUUUGCACUUGGACUGGAGUAAACCCAGCUAUAUAUACAGACUGGGAGAAGAACUGCUGAAGAGUAGCCUGAGGAGAAGGACCUGGGGGGUCCUGGUGGAUGAAAAACUUAACAUGAGCCAGCAGUGUGCUCCUGCAGCUCAGAAAGCAAAUGGUAUCCUGGGCUCCAUCAGAAGAGGGGGGGCCAGCAGGAACAGGGAGGUGAUUGUCCCUCUCUAUUCUGCCCUCAUGAGGCCCCAUCUGGAAUACUGUGUCCAGGUCUGGGGCCCCCCAGUACACAAAGGACGUGGAGCUGUUGGAGAGGGUCCAGAGGAGGGCCACUAAGAUGAUCAGAGGGCUGGAGCACCUCUGCUACGAACACAGGCUGAGGGAGCUGGGCUGGGCUGAACAAGCCCAGCCUGGAGAAGAGAAGGCAGCAAGAAGACCUCAUUGCAGCCUUCCAGUAUUUAAAAGGGGACUGUAAGCAGGAGGGGAAUCAACUUUUUACACAGGUAGACAGUGAUGGGCCAAGGGGGAAUGGUUUUAAGCUCAAGGAGGAAGGUUUAGAUUGGAUGUCAGGGGAAAGUUCUUUAUGCGUGGCGAGGUGCUGGAACAGACUGCCCAGAGAAGGUGUGGAUGCCCCAUCCCUGGAGGUGUUCAAGGCCAGGUUAGUUGGGGCCCUGUGCAGCCUGGUCUAGUACCAGACCUGGAGGCUGGUGGCCCUGUCUGUGGCAGGGGAUUGGGUCCUGAUGAUUCUUGGGGUCCCUUCCAACCCAAACCAUUCUGUGAUUCUACAAUUCUACCAUAUUAACAUAUGGUAAUAUGUUUCCAUUAAAGAUGGAAGACUUUUCUUCCUUACACAUCCCAAAUCUGCUCAAAGACUCACUUGCAGACUUUUCAUGCAAGGCCCAGGGUUCACUGCACAGCUGAUGAACAGCUGCGUUGAAGUCUGGCACCACUCAGAAUACUCCUGGAGAAAAAUAAAAAAAGAACCUAGUAUUUGUCUUAAUUCUGUAAGUGCUUUCUCCCUUCCUUUUGAACAUUUGGCAAAUAAAAUGCUAUUGCAUAAUUUUGGUUGGAAGGCCACAUCCCCUCAGAGGAGAGAGGUGCUUUCUAUUAAGUUUUACCAUUUAAACCUGAACCAGAGAUCCUCUGCCAGCGACUUAUCUUAGGAAAUCCUGAAUACAAGGUACUGCAAUGAGUAUGCUGAAGUUGUCUUUCAUUAUUAUUUUUGGAAUAUCCGUUACUCUUCUAGAUUAUGACAAUUAGAUAUUCAUGAAAGUACAAUAUAUCUUUUUUCUCACUCUGUCACAAUGGUUCCAAUAUUUAAUACAAGUAAGGAUCUUCCAGAGUUAAAAAUUCAGAGACUGUUCAAAACCUUGUCUCAUACAUCACCACACAAGGUCAGAGUUAUGAUCCCUAUCAUGUAACGUUCAUGUUCUGGCAGUGUUUUGAAUCAUUAGACUUAAGAGUCUUUAUAGAACUUCUGUGAGAGCUCUCCAAAGCAGUAUUUUCAGCAGUUGUCAUCUUGGCUGUGGGAAUCGGGAGGCCCACCACAGAGCCUUGUUCUUCAAACUGAUUUAUUUAAUAAGGACAAGAUCUGUCCUUACUUCUUUAAGGUAGUUUCUGAAAUACAGAGUGACAUAGUUCCGAUGCAUUUCAAUGUUUGCUUCCACAGAUGCAACUCAUGGCAUCACAAAAGAAGCAUUUGAAGGAGCAAUGCAGAUUUUUUUUUCUCAUUAGUGAGGGAAGUGUUUCCUCAAAGAAAGAAACCUACAGGUUUUAGUACUGAGCACAGUCACUGGCCCCAGCCUGACAGGCAGACUUCUCCUUGUGAAGGUUUGCCAUCACGGUUUAGUGAGUCUUUCUGGAUACUCUGUACAUUCUGAAUAGAAGCCUAACCAAUUCUGUAAGUGGAUUCACUUGAUCCCGUUAAGAGCAGCCAGGUGGAAAUCCAAAACUUGAACAAAAAACUUAUGCAAAAGCCAGCAUUCUUCUAACUCAUGCUAUUGUUUGCCACUAUUCAGCAGUCCACACCCAAAACAGGUGAAUAUAGUAUUUCACUGCAGGCCUACAUAUAACUGAAAUAAUCUUGCAAGUAAUCUCUUCUGGCUAUGGUGUAGUAACGGCUAUCAGACUGAGCAGCACUUUGUAUAUCACCUUUUGUUUAACAGUGAGUGCUGGAUAUAUAAAUAACUACACCACAAGUGCAUCACAAAGGAUCUUUGGUGAUUCACAGACAAAACAAAGAACAUAAUAUGGGACAGGCAAGAGGAAACCGCCCCUGUCUUGGCAGAACUAUUUCGGAUUCCUCACACUACUCCAGAGCUGGUCCCAACAGCGUGAGCAUGACCCAGUGAGACUGGACUGCUUGCUCGGCCCGAAAACCCAGCUCUGCUGAAGCCAGUGAGAAUACUGCAUCCUUCCUCUCAACAGUUUUUUGUUUUUUUUUUAAUAAAGAAGAGCCAGACUUUCAAUGAAGGCUUUUGAGGAUUAUUAAAGCACUGUUGAUUAGAGAAAAUUAACAUACAGCGAGUUUGUGUUAAGUGCAAUAACUCAGGUUUAUCAAUUUUUAUCAAGAAUAACAGUUUUUAUCUACCUCUGAACCAGAAGGUACCACUCAAACAUAUGAUACAAGUGACAUACAAGUUUUUGUUAAACAUACAAGUGUUACCCCGUUCUGUCAAACAUGCUUAAAACUCAUAGAAUUAUUUAAUGGUUUGAGUUGGAAGGGACCUUAGAAGACAGUAUUAUUCUAACCCCCUACCAUGAGAAACGACACCUCCUACUACACUGUGCUGCUCAAAGCCUCAUCCAGUCUGGCCUUUAAAACUGUGCAAAGCUAACGGGACAACUGCAAUCCUGACAUAAGAAUUUCCACAAAGUUAAGAAAAAGCUGAAUAAUUUUUUUUUUAAAGGCUAUCAAAAUACCCUCAAUAUCCAGUGACUUGUCAACUCAUAUAGAAUAACGUGUAAUUAUUACAGAAAUAAGCAUUUUUUUCUUACUGCUCUAUUUUUUAUAAUGAUUUGUAAAAAGAAGCCUCUUUCAUUUCAGCCUCAAGGCUCACAGUCACAUGUAAAUUGAUUUAGCUUAAAUCCUUCAUAACAUAAGGUAGGUCUAAAUAAAAAGAUUAUGGUACCACAUUGAACAAGAAAGCUUUGGAAAGCAGGUGUUUUUUAAUAGCAGUAAUAAAAAUCAAAUUCCAUCUUUUAAUUAGGGAUUCUUAUGGUUUGCUUCUAACUAAUAGCACAUUAUUAUUUGUAUUACUACAAAAUCGGUAGGGAUAGAACUUCCUGUCACCUAAAACCACUAGAAACAAUUAUUAGAAUCAUUUUCAUGCCAUUGAGUGAAUUUAGUUUUCUGUGGUUGAUAAGUUUUGACUGUAAUUACUGGUGAUGGCAGUGUAGAUAACUUCAAGGGCAAAUAACCACCACCACCAGCAAAAAGUACAAAAAACUUAGUCCAGAAUUUCCAAAUUGAAAGCAACCUUGGAAAUAGUAUCAAAUCCACAAUUUAUUUAUGACAAUUAACAUUUUCAUUACAAAAUAAGGGAUAUGGAUGCAGCUAUUUUCUUUAUUUCUUUUCAGCCUUUUUCUCUUUUUUUUUUUUUUUUGUUUUAUGGCAGCUCUCAAGAGAAAUGAGACUACAAGAACUAUGUCUUUUAAAAACAUCCAUAAAACCAUACGCCAUUAUCUGACAGCUGAUGCAAAUGUAACCAGCUCAUUUAGCAUAAGAUUUCAUCGCUUGUUGAAACAAUACCCAGUGGUUGCUCUUGGCUAAUGUAACUAGUGUCUAGAAAUUGCAAGCUCCAAAAACACAUUUAAACCAAGCAAACAGAAGCAGGCUUUAGAAAGGCAGACAUAGUCAUUCAGAUCCUGACAAAAGCAGAUCAUCUAAAUGCUAUGCUUAUUUAAAUUCUUCACACUCUUUCUUUGACAUGAAGAGACAGCAUUCACAUAUCCUUCACAGUUCAUAAAUCUUACCGUGAUGCAAUGGCACAUUAAUCAGAACUAGUGAAAGUAAUGCAGUCCAUAGCUGACUAAUAUUCAGAAGGCGCUUCUCUGCAUUUCUACGGAGGAUGCUUAACCAGCAGAGGAUCCUUAAAGCAUCCCCCGAAUAGGAAUCCCCAACACUUGCCUAAAUAAAAAUGCAAAGAAUCUUUUAUCAGGGAUUUCUUUGCUGUACAUAAGUAGUUGCAUUGUUAAAACAAACAAACAAAAUUCCCUGUUACAUCCCUACAUUUAACUUGAGAGUUAAUUUAUAGCUUCAGUGAAAUGUGAGAGAUGAGAUGGAGACAUCUGCUUACAGAAUAUCUUGUAAUUAAACUAAAAAAAUAUAUGGAAAAGGGUAGUAGAAAAAAAAAACAGAGCAUUGGGAUAGCUUGACACAACUCCAUAGCGUACUCUGCAGUUAGUAGAUGAACUACCGUAUACAAGUUUGGGAAGAAUAAUGGCAACAGAUUCUCUGGCUAGGCUUUCAUCGUUCUGACUGAUCACUAGAAAUCACUCUCUCAGCUGCCACAGAAUGAAUUCCACUGACUGUGUACUCACUGCUUUAAAAAAAAAAAAAAAAUCUUUAAGAAUUAGAUUUUUAGAGUUACACAUGACCCAUCUUUGGUUUAAUCACUGCUCUGCUGUUUCGUGGUUUCUUAGGCAAUAGAUGUUGCCCUUUAAGGUUUUUAAUUUUUAAUGCAAUUUUAAUUCAUAAUUCAAUGAUAUGUUUCUGUCAUACAGUUAUAACUGCAAACAGCAAUUGUCCAUACAGCAGAUCGAGAAUGUCUACAUGAAGCAGCAGCAACAUACAAAGCUCAGAAAUGCUUGCUUAGAACAAGUACAUUUAAAAUAUUAAGAGGCUUUAAGUAACAUCAUAAUAACAAUAAUUUAGACUUCAAAGAAACAGUAAGCACACUUAAUUCUUGCAGCGCUGUACUCCAGUCUGGGUCUUACUUACUGUUCAAAGUAUUCCUGCUCGUGUCCUCUCUCUUUGCAGCGUAUUUCCACUUUGCUGCAUCGUUACGAAUCUCAACUGGUUUUGAGCACAUCUUGAUAACAGUCACUCCUCAAAUUGUGAUUUUCUAUGCUAACUGCACAUUUUCAGUGUCUUAAAAAAAAAUUCUUUGACUUUUCAGAAGAGCUAAACCUAGGUGUAAAAUUCAGAAUCCACUCAGAGUCUCUGACUGUGCUUCAGAAUAGGUACUGCAGUUCUAAAACGUGAAACUAUGAACGAAUACAAGAAGACACGCAAUGUGUACUGUGAUUUCUACAUAGUAUUUGCUAUUUAGCCAUGUUGUAUUGAUUGGGUUAUCAACUGAUUACUACCUAGCAGCUGCAAUGCUAACACUCAUCAACAAAUCUGUCAGUUGGAAAAUCACAGAAUCACAGAAUGGUUUGGGUUAGAACGCACCUUUAAGAUCAUCUAGUUACAACCCCUCUGCUAUAGGCAGGGACACCUCCUUCUCGACCAGCUUGCUCAAAGCCCACCCACCCUCCUUGACUGCUGCCAAGGAGUAGGCAUUCACAACCUCACUGGACAGCCUGUUCCAGUGUCUCACCACCCUUAGAGUUAAGAAUUUCUUCCUGACAUCUAGUCUAAAUCUACCCUCAUCCAGUUUAAAACCAUUUGCCCUCAUCCUGUCACUACCUGACCUUAUAACAAGUCCCUGCCUGGCUUUCCUGUAGGCCCCUUCAGGUACUGGAAGGAAAAAAUACUCUUGUUCUUUCCUUGUUAUUGUGCCACUGGUGACAGCCAGAGUUCCUUCUGUAAGAAUUCUACGAAGAAAUACUUAACAGCCUUUCUAAUCAUUGAAAAUGAUUAGAUUUAAGCAAAAAUGCUAAGACCCCACUGCUACAACAGCAGCUGAGGGGACGCUGCUCCUAAGAGCCACACUUUCUCACAACCAAUUAAUAAGGUUACAGCAUAUGCUUCCCAAGGGGCCUGACAACUCUCCUAUCUGCUUUACCUUACAGAAAAGUGGAGAAUGAACCAUGUGCUGAUAUGGGGGUGAAGGACAGAGGAGCUAUGUCAGGGCUGUGACUACUCCUGGCAAAGGUGGAGGGGGUAGUGACCCCAUUCCUUAGGCGUUCCAAUAAAACAAUCACAUUUAUUUAACAAACUGUAGAUUAACACCAACCUGUAGUUUAAUAAUUCCAUAGUAAAAACACUGUAUAUUGAAUAAAACAUGAAUCAACCGUGCUCUCUUUCCUUGAGCUCUUGCUUUACAUUCUUCCACCGCAGUUGCACUACAGUGCUCAUUAGUACUUAAAAAAUCUACAGGGGAUAAGACAUAAACACCUGUUAUUAUGCCAAGAAGGCAAAGCAGCACAGUAGCAAGAAGUUUUGAAAAUCUAUUAAUUCUCAGAAUCCUUGAAAUCUCAGUAAAAUAAGUGUGAGCCUAAUGCUAUUUUGAUUAAAUUAAUGCUUACCUACUUCAUUGCCUUCCCAUUCUAGGUGGAUUGGCAGAGUCUGAUUUACAACCAUGGCCCCAGCUAGCUGUUGAGUGGUAAUGUGGGAGAAUUUUUUUUUGCAGGGGGUGUGCAGGUGGGUGCAGGCGUUUUCUCAGUCUAUAGCAAUUUGUGGAAACAGUCAAGAAAGCAGCUAGUAACAUUCAUCUCUGGCAGGGUAUGUUCUUACAUUUGUUCUUUUACGCUUAAAGACUGCAAUACCUGUGUUGAGGAUUUGAUUACUGUGAGGCUACAUCUGUUAAAUGAAAACCUCUUAAAGUGAAAUUACUCAGGAAGUCUUUUUAACAUGAGAAACAAAGUUUGAUUUUUUUCCCAUUCACAAUCCGAGGAAACAGUUUCUCAGAGUUAAGUUACUGCUUUGGCUUUGAAGCAUCACAUAUAGCCACAUUCAUUCUGAUACUAGCUGGAGAUAAUAAAUGCAAGCAAACAUACUUAUCUAGGUAUUAGGACACGAGGAACUACUUGCCAGAGGUAAAAUGGUUUACCACAGGCUACAGAGAAUUUAACUUAGGUUUAAAUUACUCACAGAGGCAUCUGCAGGCUCCAUUUCUGAUUCUCUGUUGUGCUGUCUAAAGAUUUAUUCUAGAAUGCAAAUGAAAGUUGGUCUCUGCUACCAGAUACUCUUUAUUGUAUCUUUUUGCUACCAGAUACUCUUUAUUGUAUCCUUCCUGGUUUUUUUUGUUUUGUUUUGUUUUGUUUUUUGCUUUUUGCUUUUUUUUCUUAUUUAACUAAGCCAAAAGUUUGAAAAAGUUAAAUAAGAAAUCUCUUAUUUUGUAAAUAGGAAGUACAAAAUGUUUCUUUCCACCCACAAAGAAUCGACUAUGUCCACUCCAGCAAAUCCUUUGACCAUGGUAUCUUUAUAGCUAAUAUGUGCAAAGAAUAGUGACAGAAGAAGGAAGAAGUGGAACAAAAAAGCUAACAAGUAGCUGCUGUUGCCCAGAAACAGGCUAACAAGCUACAGAAAGGGAAAGUUAUUAAAAGGAACACACAAGUCAGACGUUUCAGGUCUUAUCUUCUUGGGCUUUCUUAUUUAGGGUGAAAAACAUUUUAGAAAACAAAACAGUGAUAAAGUCGCCUGGAUUCAGGGGGGUUGUUUGUUAGUGAUUGGUUUUCAGGGGGUUCUCAUGUGGAACAGUGAAUGUGGGUGGUUGUUACUCAUGGCAGCAAACUGUUGGGGACUGUAAAACAGCCAUAGCUUUCCUGUUUUCAUUUCCUCUGCCAGAGCUCUGAAAAACACACAGGGCUGCUGUGUGUUUUUUGUGCUACCACAAAUCUGAACAUUUUAAGGCUGUUUAAAAUGUCUCCUUUAGUUGCUGCUGACAUCCUCCAGUCCUCGGCUGCGGCACAUCAGCAUGGCUGAGCAGCAUAGCUUCCCAAGCUGGGUGCCCAGGCCUUCCCAUUUUCAUCUGCUCCUUACUCUGACAGCCACGUGUUACCCUUUAUCCUGCCACUGAGGUGGCCACCUUCUCUAAGAAGGCUUUGGCUGGCUCUGGGCACACCUCAGUCUUUUUCUGUUUAGGUGCUACCCAAGGGCUAGAAGAUGCAGAGUUCUGGGAAACUCGUUACUUUGCAUAGGUUCUUGCUUACGCAGGUAUUUAAAAAAAUGCACUGAUGACAUCUGAUGACUAGAAAAAUAGCUUAUUUCUCUUUACCUUCAAGUUGCCUGAUUUUUUGUCCUCAGAAAUCCUGUACGAAGUAGACCCGUAGAUUCUGAUUACUAGGGUCUCCUGGGACAGUCACUGCAUGGAAAGCUUCUGAUUGCAGAAACUUUUGGAUCUGACUGGCCAAUAAACUUGAGGUUUUAGAAACAGAUGUGCUGUGUCCAGCACACAGAAUGCCCUUCCCUUCCAAAGGGAGAGGAUUAAGGCCAUAAGAAGGAGGCAGAUAAGUCAGUUUGAAUUUCCAGGUGGGAGCUGGCAUGCAGACAGUCCACUUUACACCAAUGUGCUGCUCAAAAGGAGGAACAGGCACCUCAUUUAAAUCUGCACCAUGCUAGUAAAGAAACACGAGCUGGUUUUGGAAGUGUUUUCCAACAGCAUGGAGGAAGACCAGAGACAGGAGUUUGGAAUCCAGCACAGGCUGAAGGAGGAGACAUUUAUAGCAGCUUAGAGCAGUUCCCAGAAGAGGAGACUGCAGCAGUGGGGCAGGAAGGUCUUAAGGGUAUUUAUUAGCAGCUGGUGCUAUUAAAUCAGCCAUCCAGCACAACCAUUCUGGUUCCCUUUAGGGUACUGACAGUAUGAAGCAGAAGCAUUUCCUCCUGAUGUUUUUCCAACACUAAUUUCACAGAGCUAGGAAGUGGGAAUGUGUCAGAGGAUGGCUCUUCUUGUGUCCCACACACUGGAUCAUGACUGGGUGGACCAUCCCUCAGGGUCUUGGGAAGGAAAGAAGAGGAGACAUGCUGAAGACAUGCAGCAUUUACGUUUGUAUUUUUAUUCUUUCCCAUGUGAUGACUCUGUAUGUCUCCUGGGAGCUCCAAGUGAUCAUCCACAAACUCUGGUUGAUGUCUCCUUAAAGCCAGUUUGCUGUGCUCCUGCAGACUGUCCUUCAAGCAAAGGCAGUGUAUACAAAAUACGAUGUAUUUACUGAAAAUGUGCCUCUUCUCUUUGAAGCUGCCUGUAAUUACAUAUCUAGGGAAUAGUCUGAUGUUUAGAUUUUCAAGUGUAUGGCUGGUUAUGUUUAGCAUAUUUGUCAUCUUUUCCCUUUCCUGUUGCACUACUUGUGGUCAUAAAUUAUGUUACAAAAAGAAUGAAGACUGAGAGCAAGUCACAGGAGCACCGAAACAAGAGGCCAAGAACAAGUAAAGCACUUUCAGGUGGUGGCCAUCUCCUCUGAGCCUCCUAAGAGUGAUAGUGAUUCCAGCUGGUUCUCUCUAACAGUUGCCACACAGAAGAGAGUCUAGCUAUUUCCCAUGAUGUUGGAUGCCCAAAGGGAUCUGAUGAUGAGCCUAACGCAACUUCUUGGGGAGAAAGGCUGGCCAGCUGCCACAGCUUCUCCCCUGUGCAGCCAGACCAAAUGUCUCCUGCUCAGCAGAGCUGGCUUGGAGCCCAUGGGAUAAAUUCUGCUCUUGGAUAUGGAAGCAUAAAUUCUGAAAGUCUUAGCUGGUUUCAAAGGAGGUAUUCCAGAUUUACACCAGCUUUCCUAUGGUCAGAAGCCAAACUGAGGUCUAGAGAAUAAAAUAAAUUCACACUUUUUGUCAAAAUUUAUAAGGUUCCUUCACAAAGCUUUCAAACAGGAUUUAUCCUCUGGUUAAAAAUACAUUUCAGUUGACUUCAUCCUUGUCAGCUGUUGAGCAACAUCCCCAAAAUCAUGUUUUGCUACCAACACAGGAUUUUUACUUAUAGAUGUGUAUUUAUGUGGACAGUACCACAGAAAUAAUUUAAACUAUAAAUUUACAGACAACUUCUCAACAAAUUAUUGUCAUUUCACUAUUUUUCUCAAAAAAAUUUAAUAAUCUAAUCUAUAUUCUCUUAGGUUAGUAGUUGGUUUUCUUCACACCAAUAGACUACUAAUGCAACUGUGCAGUUGCAGAUAUGAGCUCCAAAUAUUGACCUCCAGCAACUAUGCACUGAUUGAGUGGGAUUCUGCGGCUGAGUGUCACUCUAUGUUAAUUUUUGUUUACAAAUUUUGUUUUUCAAUGUUUUAGUCAUUAAGAUUAGGGAAUUGUAAUGAUAAAUAUAGCUUAAAUAUUUUCCUUCAUUUCCUGAAGACAAAUGCUGUUUUUAAUAUAAGCUAUUUCGUGCUACAGUUGACAUCACCUAUGAUUCUGUUUGGGACAGUAUUUGGAAAUCCUGGACAUUUCAAAAAUAUGCUAUUGCAUGUUAGUGGGUCUGUCCCUAAGGUCGCUUAACACUUCACUUCAUAAAAUCAUAUUUUCCAUUGCUUAAAGCACUGAUAAAACUUAAACCAUGCAGGUUGCAUUUUCUGUGCUUUCUGCUUCAGGCUACUCUUAUUUAGCUAUAGAAAGUUUCAGAUGGAGCACUUCAGCCUUUGAAAAACAUUUAGUUUAGCUCAGUAAAAGAAGUGGGACAUGGGCACAGAAAGAGGUAAUGGGAAUGAAGUCAGAAAUAAAGGGGAGGAAACUAAGCUGGGAUACAGCUACUAGGAAGCAGAAAGACAGACCAGGGAAAGAGAAUGGAGAAAGGAAUUAUACUGACUAGUGAGGUCUGUGGAAAAGGGAAUGACAGAAGUGAAACACGUCUUGAAGACUGAGCUGAUAGGAACAGAACAGAAUUGCAUAAGGAAGCUGGAAAUGUUUCUUGUUGCCCUUCAGAACUGCAAUCAGAUGCAACUCUUGGUGGGCUUUGGCAUUCUUAACCCCAUCUUUGCAGGCUUGGACAGUACCUCUGUUUUCCCCCUGGGCCACCCAUCUCUGUUUCCAUGUCUUGCAUGCAUUUAGUUUAUGGCCAAGGUCGGUCAGGAGAUCCUUCACCCAUACAGGCCUCCCGCUGCUUUUCUAUACUUUCCUUGAGCUCGGAGAAGGUCAUCUUUGAAAAUGACAAAGAGCUGCUGGAGAAGAAAACAUCCUGAACAUCAAAUGCUGUCUGAGAUUAUAAUGUGCUACCACAUUAUAGCCUUGCAUCUGUCGAAGAUUUUUUGUCCUCCUCUCACUAACGGGCACUUAUAGACAGCAUAUUUUCACAACUACUCAUUUCUUAUUUUAUGGAUGUCUGUCCUGAACUCAGAUUCUGAUUGACAGAAAUGCUGAACACCAUUUAUUGCAACUGAGACAAAUAACAACUUGUAAUUUGAACAUAAAAAGCUUUAUUGUUCUGAACACCAUGCUCACAACAUCUCAGUACAGCACUUCCAAGUUUGGAGAAACUUUUGACCUUCAUCUCUUUGUGCCUCAACUAAAUGCUAUCCCUUAUCUUGCAAGAGUUUGUGAAGUUAAAUUAAUUAGUCACUGUGAAGCCCUUAGAGACAGUAGUGAGUGAUAGAUGAGACAGAAAAGUCUGUGAGAUAACCAUUUCUCUUCUGAGAUGCUUUGAACAGUGAGAAACAAAUAAGAUUGGUGCCACACACAGCAUAAAAAGCAUACCAGAAGGUGCUGGGCGGGUUUUUGUGAGGCUGUUUACCCUCAGCACUGAAAGAGGCAAGGAUCCUUCAUCAGACAGUGAGAGACAUCAAUGCUGCAAGGAAAAAUACAUUUCACUAAUAUCAUAGAACGUAUUUUCUAUAGAAUUAUGGUACUGUAAUCACUGCAGCUUUACCACGUAUUUUGUUACAUCCCUCUUCAUAGAAACAGAGCUUGGCUGUAAAUCUAAGUUAGCAGCUUAAAACAUGAACACUCCCCUGUUAUCUUUCAUGGAAGUCAGAUUAUUUAGUGCCAGAUUUUCAAGUCUGCUCUUUUUAAAAGAUGACGUAUGCAUUUAUAAUUCAACUGCCAUUCUGACAGCAGAGAAACUUCUCUCCUAACUGCUUCAGAUUUACAGUGAAUGAACUUCAAAGCCAAGGAUGUAAUACAUUCAGUGAGAAUUUUGCAGUGGUCAAACCCCAGCUGUAACCAGGGAAUUUCUAUGGUUUUACAGCACAGUGAGACCGAAGCAAAUGAGAUGAGUUGGUGAGCAUAAACUUCUGGACCUUUGGCACCUCUCAAACCCACCUAAACAUUUUUCUGUCUCUGACACGCUUCUGUGAGUUCUUUUCACAACUUGACUUCUCUUCAAGUUAGAAAUCUGCUUCUGCUUUAUCUGUGGCUGGUUUUUGUGCUGUUUCUCUUCUCUCUGUGCUAUGUAUUUUGCAGACAUGUUUUCCAAGAAUGAUCACAUCUCCUCUCAGCUUUCUUUUGUUGAGCUAAAUGAGAUAAACUCUUAAACUGCCUCACAUGAAAUGGACUUCCUGUUCUCUUGGGAGUACUCUUUCUGCAAUUCCUGCAUUUUGAACUCAGUGUUUCAAUAAGGCUUGUCAGGACCUUAGUCUAGAGAAUACAGUAACACUAGAAUUUCCUGAUGGCCAGCUGGGAAACACUUUACUGGCACUUGAAACCCUGUACUACCUAGCAAAAGGCAUCUGUGGCACACAAGGCUUUACAGAUAUCCUAAAUUUAACAUGCCCACACCUUUUUCCUCUUCUGGUAUUCCAGCAGAAAUGAGUUAGGCUGGGAGCAAAAUUGAUGAGAGCACAAACAGUAUGCACUGGAAGCUGGAACUGGAUCUAAAGUCUUCACUUCAGAGUCACAGCAAUUCAUUCUUUAUUGCAAACAAACAAACGAACAAAGAAACAAAAACUAUCAGAAAACACCCCAAAAGCCAAAAAGAGUACAAAAACUUAUUAUCUAGAGGAAUAUUCUGUAAUAAUUAAAAUUCCUCUUGAAUUAUGAUUACUGCGCUGUCAUAGUAUGAGCAAAAUCGUAAAAAUGAAAUGAGCACAGAAGCAGCCAGUCCCAUUUCCAGCGAAUACACCAGAGGGGUGAGGAUAGGAGAGGUGGCCUUGCCCAGCUGUGCCUGGGGCAGGACUGCUGCCACCCAGCCCCGGGGAAAAUCCGGGGGAGAAGUCGAGACAGGCUCUGUGCUGAGGGCUGCAGGAAGAGCUGCAUCCUUCCCAUGCCACUCUGCAGUCACAAUCACAGGAAGUUAAUACUCUUCCUUGAUGUAAUUUAUCCCACUGAAAUCUCUUCCUCCGAAUUGUGACACCUGUCCAUUUUCACACAAUUAAAGAAGACUUCAUCUAGCAGAAAAAAAAAAAAAAAAAAAACAUUUGCACUUGCACUCACUCCCUUCAGCCUCCAUCUGACAACUGGACCAGACACUGGUGGUGGGACAAAGGGAAUGAAAAUGCAGUACUUCGAGGUAUCUGGAGCCUCUGCCUUCAGCUUUUAAAUGUGAUAGGAUCAAAAAUAAUUUUUCAUUUAAUACAACAAGCAUCUGGUUGACGUGUCAGGUAUUUCGCAGUCCGUAAGACAUUGUUAAAAAUGUAACCAGCCAUGGAGGUGUCAGGAGGAAUCAGUAUAUAUGGCAUGUUCCGGUGGAUGACAGAAAUAAAUCCUUUACAUACAAUGUCAAAGGCAGAAUUCUUCAGCCUACACAGUCACAAUGAAAAGCAGGAUGAUUCUAGGUGAAAAGAUAUUUUAAGUCUGUACUACUGUGAAGAUUACGCAAUCACCCAUUUGGCUUAUGAAAACUGAAGGUACAGAGAUGAGAAGACCAAGGAAAGGGAUCAGGUCUUCACAGCUUCCUAGUUUAUUAUGGGCAGCAAAAUAUAGUCUGAAAAGGCCAUAUAGGCAAGAGGACUAAAGAAUGGUGAUGUUAUCUGACCAUGAAAAGCAUGGGGCAUGAAAUGCCCUGGAGGUGUGUCUUAACAAUUGCAUGAAAAAAACCAUCCUUUAAAUCCUUUGUGGGGCUUUUAACAAUUUUCAUAAAUAUUCACAAUUUUAUUCCUGAUAAUCUGUCGUAGUUCUUCACAGCUACCUGAACAUCCCCCCUGUUGCUGCAGUUUUAAUGUUGUCAUAUUCUGAACAAAACCACAUCAAAAAACACACUGUAAGUAAUGCUCUUCUCUCUUAAACAUGCUUGGAAUUUCACUACCACGAACAUUUUAGAAAUUGCAAUCUCCUAUUACUAUCUGUUAUUUACACUGGGCCGAGGGACAGAAACGGAAAUGAGAAAAGACAAAAAGAAAUGGCAUCACCUUAUCUUCAGAGCUGCCCCACGACUCUCCAGCUCACACAAGAGAUAGCCUGUACAGCACAGCAAGCCCGAGCUGCGCGGGUUCCCUGUGACCAAAUCCACUCACAGCAUUCGCAAACCUUUCAUGGGGCAGCCUGGGUCUGUAAGAGGGAUGGCUGCGCUCUGCCUAAAGCAAGGCUGUUCCUUAAAUGAAGUCAGCUUCAAGCUCGAUCAGGAAACUCCAGAAAAACGGUUCGCCGGUAGGCGGGAAGACUGACGUUAGCAUGGCGUUAGGAGCCACGGAUGAAGCAAGCUGCCCCCGGAGGUUAGUAAGGCCUGGAAGCUUUGAUGUAGCUGGAGCAUGGCUCCUUUGUAUUCUGUUUGCAAAAGGCUCCCCUGCGGAGUUUUUGUUUGGGUUGUUAAAAUCUGUUUAACUCAAAGAGCUGACAAUAAGCACUUGGGAGCAAAACCGCCUCUUUGAAAGUCUUUUUGCUGCUCAACUGCACUGGCCAGCCCUGCAAAUUUAUAGCUCUGCUUGCUCUCACUGCUCCAAAGGCUGCUUAAGCAAACAAUUAAGCUUUGCUGAUCACUCUGGGCACGAGUGGCAAAAUCUGCACUUUCUGCAUAGCCUAGAACAUACUCAGAACGAAUAAGCUUUCUCUAUCCCUCUUUCUCGUAUCUUGUAUUAGGCAGCUCCAGGUUUCAGGUUUUAGUAGUCAAGGGCAACCUACCCUCAGCAAGGACUGCAAUUCUACUGUGUGAGCCCCCUAGACCGGGAAACAUUAGUAUUAAAGGAGGGUGUCGGUUUACACUCGGUGUUCCUUAGGUAAGGCCAUCGCCAUCCCUUUUGAAUACCUGACACAGACAGUUUUGAUUGCUGAUUAAGGUUGUUGCAUGUUCCCCCCACACAGACAGGCUUGGUAAGGACUGCUCAUUAUUUCCAAAACAGACCAGCAUGGACCUUGCUUCCUGCUCGCUGCAUUGGCUGCCUGUCUGCUCCCAUGACCUAUAUGAUGGGCACAAUGACUGCCUCACCACCAGCUGCACUCUGUGCAUGUAAUUCUGAAGCACCAGAAAAGUCUGAAGGCAGAGAAUACCGACGUGCUGUUCGAACUUAACACAGCUUCAGUGUAAGAUUUGGGUUGUAUGUGCAAGCAGAAAACAUUUUGCUUCAAGGUGUGUGCCACAGUGGGAUCAUCAGAACUUACUAGAUUGAGUGCACGGAUCAGGAAACUGUUGUGCUGGGUUUGGAGUAACAAUACAGAAUUCAGAGAUGGUUCAGAAUGUUUAACGUGUAGAAAGAUGUUCCAUUCUGAAAAGACUUUUGGGGAACGAUAAAAAAACCUGCUCUGUCAGAGCCCCUGAUUUUAUACAGGAAAAUAUCUUUAAAAGAAAGAAAGGAAGCCAAACUUGAAUAAGCUUUUUGUCCACUUUGAAACUUAAUGUCUAGCAAAUUCCAUUUCUGAUAGAUUUUAGACUUCUUCUCUUUCAGUCUGGCAGAUGUAGACGUCAACACUCCAGCCAGGUCUUACAGCCUCAUCUUCAAACUCUUCCCUUUCCACUUCGCUCACGUUGCUGUGGGCAGAAUACUGAUGGACACAGUGUAAGGAUGGAACAUCUACUUGCUUUGGUACGAGUGCCACGUUUUUUCCUCUAUGAACAGGAUCACAAAGACGUGACUGAGAAUGAACUUCUGUUCUGUAAUUCUUCGCAUACAUGCACACAAGGGCCCUUAAAUUUGUCCCUCUGCUCAAGCUCCUGUACAGAUUUGUAAGCACAGUUUACAGCACUUUCUCCCUUGACAGUUAAACUAUUUCUUUCCACUGCAGAAGACACCGGGUGAAAAGUCGGUAUAUAGUAGGUUUUGGGUGGUUUUUUUUGUUUGUUUGUUUGUUUGUUUGAGAAAAAAGAAGGAGUUUUGCUUAAUGCAAUUAUUUUAUCCUGCCUUUAUCUACCUAAAAUGGCAGUACAUUUGGAGAAUGCAGGAGGUGUUUUGUGGGAAGUAGUAAUGAAUAAUUCACGAAGGAUUAAAAAUACUUUGGGGUUUAAUUCAGAAUCUUUUUAUUUUCCCUUAGUUUCCUUCCCUAUUUAUAUUGAAUAUAAACAAGGAACUUGUUCUAAAAUAGUGAGAUGAAGGAAUGAACUAGAGUGAAAUAAAUUGAAUAAUUCCUAAAGUAAUUAGAUAAAUUCUAGACCCUGUAUUCAUACCUAAGUAAAAAUGAUUGCUUAGAUAUUCAGAUCAUCCAUGCACUUAGCCACAGCUGCAAGGGAUUUGUAGGUGGAGAAUUAUCUAACAAUCUGCCCAUUUUUGGUGGCCUGAGACACUGUCAUUGCCUUGAGCUGUAGCUGAGCCUUUCGCUGACACUAUGCUCCUCUUUCAUACUGCUUCGGUCAAGUGUUCCUAUAGAACAUUGCUGUGGAGGCUAAAGGGAAACGGGUAGGGAAGAUGCAAGAACAGGUAUUACAGCUAGGAAUCAAAUGCUGUUCUGAAUCAUUACCUGGAAGAUUCUUCAGCUGCAGUCCUGUAGAUAAACUGAGUGGAGCACUUACAGUGCAGUUCUUCAGUGUGGAUAACCUAACACACCAUUUUUACAAUUAUUUUUCCCAAUUUACCUGUGCAUUUCAAAGAUUUCAAAAGACAUUACAGAAAGAAGGUAGCAAGAGAACAGGUAAAACACUGCUGCUCCACAAAGCCCUGACAAGGAGGAUUCCAGUCCAUUCUGAGUCACGUUUACAUGGUGCCGAAGUAUUGGGUGAGAGAGGAGGAUGUUUGAAGGGGUAUUUCCAAAGGGGUUUCUCCUCUGGCUUUCUGGGAUUAUACCUGUGUGUCUAACCCAGCAUGGUCAGCUCUGCAAUGAGCUAAACAAACACACCAUCCUUUUCCUAACUUUCUUCUGUUAAAAACAAGUUGUAAUUGGUCACAGUGACUUGGUAUUUUCAUAUAAUGCUGAAAUCAAAAAAAACCACUCUGCUUCUACCUUUAGUUCUUAUCUCUGGUAACGUGAUCUAAGGAUCAGAACCUUGACUUCAGAUACCUUCCAGCCCCUGGAUUUCUGAAAGGUUUCAGGGUUAAUAUUAUUUUUGCUUGUUUUCUUUUUCUCACUAUAAAUAUGAUGAGCAAAAGGAUGUUGCCAUGGAGACAUUUCAUAACGUACUUAAAGGCACUUGUUACAGUUAUGUGCCAUAGAGUCAUCCUCAUUUUUGUCUUAAUUAUAAAGAUGUGCAAAAAAUCACAAAAAUACAGUCUAUUAUCUUUUUCAGAUGUUUAGAAUUCUCAUUUCAUUUUCAGAUGAAACAAAUUAUUUGACAGAGACUUUAUUAUUUGAAGACCUACACAUUUACAACCAGAAGGGAGGAUAAUAGCUUAUUAAAACCAAUACAUUUUACACUUACAUGAGGUGUCAUCACGACCUGAAGUCCAGUUUUGCAGUGUGUUGAACUAGAGACUACCAAUGAAAAUAAGAGAACUCUUGCAAUCCGAUUUUUCCAUGUGCUUGUGGUAGACCUGUAUAAAAUUCACUGGAUUUGCUUUGUGUGCUUUUUGCCUUCACAAAAGGCAGGGUUUUUCAUGAGCUACUGAAAUACAGUGCCAUAGAGCCUUCUCUCAGGCAGUUAGCAGCCUGGAUGCUAGUGCUGCACAUUAGCCAGGUCUGUGCUGCUCCGAAAGCAGCCGAGGUGCUUUGUCCUCCACCUGACUUUCUCCCUGAGCUCGGGAAGUUCACCUGCAGGCCAUGUGCCCAGGCACUGCUGGGGCUGCCCUGUCCCCUCGACAUGCUCAAGCACACGAGUACACAGCAAGUUCUGCUUUUCCUUGAGUUAGAACUUGCAGCCUCAUUGUGUGCACCACCUGCAAGGUUGAGAAAUCCAGAGGCUCAUCUGGAACAUAUAGGAUGGGCCUGAUUUUAUCUAAGGCCACGAGUCUCAAGAAGGGUUGCAGUGAUUCUUCUCAAAAUUUUCAGUGAGGACAUUUAGAAAGGGACUCCUUCCAUGCAGCACAGAGCAGCAGUUCUGCAGUUUGAGGGUUGGUCGAGCUGCCCCUGGAGCCCACAUGGCACCAGGACACUGCCAGGCCAAGGCGAUGCCGGGGGCAGUGCACAGCUGUCCCUGCAGCCGGCCCAAAGGUCUGCACGGUGUGCCAGUGACAACUGCCUUUUACUCUCAUUUACAAACUGCCUUCAAAUUAUGCCCUCUGAGUUCUGACUGCUGAAACCACUGAGGUAUAGUCAAGUUGAAUUACAGGUUAGGAUUUAAACAGGCUGUAAUUUCAGUCUUCUAUUUCCAACUUCCUACAUAAU